UCUCCGUAGGUGAACCUGCGGAGGGAUCAUUACUGAGUGAGGGUUUAACCGCCCGACCUCCAACCCUUUGUGAACCCCAUCUCGUUGCUUCGGGGGCGACCCUGCCGUUCCGGCACCGGCGCCCCCGGAGGCUCAUCAAACACUGCAUCUUUGCGUCGGAGUCUUAAUGAAUUUAAACAAAACUUUUAACAACGGAUCUCUUGGUUCUGGCAUCGAUGAAGAACGCAGC
rnacentral:misc_RNA from 1 species